rnacentral:rRNA from 1 species
AGAGUUUGAUCCUGGCUCAGGAUGAACGCUAGCGACAGGCUUAACACAUGCAAGUCGAGGGGCAGCGGGGAGGUAGCAAUACUUCCGCCGGCGACCGGCGCACGGGUGAGUAACACGUAUGGAACCUGCCCGUAGCAGGGGGAUAAACGGAAGAAAUUCCGUCUAAUACCGCGUAAUAACUCCGAGAGGCAUCUCAUGGAGUUUAAAGGGUAACACCGGCUACGGAUGGCCAUGCGGCGCAUUAGCUAGUUGGCGGGGUAACGGCCCACCAAGGCGACGAUGCGUAGGGGUUCUGAGAGGAAGGUCCCCCACACUGGUACUGAGACACGGACCAGACUCCUACGGGAGGCAGCAGUGAGGAAUAUUGGUCAAUGGGCGCGAGCCUGAACCAGCCAAGUCGCGUGAGGGAAGACGGUCCUAUGGAUUGUAAACCUCUUUUGUCGGGGAGCAAAAGACGCCACGUGUGGCGUUCCGAGAGUACCCGAAGAAAAAGCAUCGGCUAACUCCGUGCCAGCAGCCGCGGUAAUACGGAGGAUGCGAGCGUUAUCCGGAUUUAUUGGGUUUAAAGGGUGCGCAGGCGGAAGAUCAAGUCAGCGGUAAAAUUGAGAGGCUCAACCUCUUCGAGCCGUUGAAACUGGUUUUCUUGAGUGAGCGAGAAGUAUGCGGAAUGCGUGGUGUAGCGGUGAAAUGCAUAGAUAUCACGCAGAACUCCGAUUGCGAAGGCAGCAUACCGGCGCUCAACUGACGCUCAUGCACGAAAGUGUGGGUAUCGAACAGGAUUAGAUACCCUGGUAGUCCACACAGUAAACGAUGAAUACUAAUUGUUCGGGGAGAAUGAUCCCUGAGUGAUACAGCGAAAGCGUUAAGUAUUCCACCUGGGGAGUACGCCGGCAACGGUGAAACUCAAAGGAAUUGACGGGGGCCCGCACAAGCGGAGGAACAUGUGGUUUAAUUCGAUGAUACGCGAGGAACCUUACCCGGGCUCAAACGACACAGGAAUACUUUUGAAAGGAGGUAGCUCUACGGAGUCUGUGUCGAGGUGCUGCAUGGUUGUCGUCAGCUCGUGCCGUGAGGUGUCGGCUUAAGUGCCAUAACGAGCGCAACCCCCAUCGCCAGUUACCAGCAAGUCAAGUUGGGGACUCUGGCGAGACUGCCGGCGCAAGCUGUGAGGAAGGCGGGGAUGACGUCAAAUCAGCACGGCCCUUACGUCCGGGGCGACACACGUGUUACAAUGGCAGGUACAGAGAGAAGCAAUGCGGCGACGCAAAGCGGAACUUGAAAGCCUGUCUCAGUUCGGAUUGGAGUCUGCAACUCGACUCCAUGAAGCUGGAUUCGCUAGUAAUCGCGCAUCAGCCAUGGCGCGGUGAAUACGUUCCCGGGCCUUGUACACACCGCCCGUCAAG